AUUGAACGCUGGCGGCAUGCCUUACACAUGCAAGUCGAACGGCAGCACGGGUGCUUGCACCUGGUGGCGAGUGGCGAACGGGUGAGUAAUACAUCGGAACAUGUCCUGUAGUGGGGGAUAGCCCGGCGAAAGCCGGAUUAAUACCGCAUACGAUCCACGGAUGAAAGCGGGGGACCUUCGGGCCUCGCGCUAUAGGGUUGGCCGAUGGCUGAUUAGCUAGUUGGUGGGGUAAAGGCCUACCAAGGCGACGAUCAGUAGCUGGUCUGAGAGGACGACCACCCACACUGGGACUGAGACACGGCCCAGACUCCUACGGGAGGCAGCAGUGGGGAAUUUUGGACAAUGGGCGAAAGCCUGAUCCAGCAAUGCCGCGUGUGUGAAGAAGGCCUUCGGGUUGUAAAGCACUUUUGUCCGGAAAGAAAUCCUUGACUCUAAUACAGUCGGGGGAUGACGGUACCGGAAGAAUAAGCACCGGCUAACUACGUG
rnacentral:rRNA from 1 species